rnacentral:tRNA from 1 species
GCCUGGGUGGCUCAGUCGGUUGAGCGUCUGACUUGGGCUCAGGUCAUGAUCUCACGGUUCGUGGGUUCAAGCCCUGCGUUGGGCU